UACGCAGGUGGCAAGCGUUGUCCGGAAUUAUUGGGCGUAAAGCGCGCGCAGGCGGUCCUUUAAGUCUGAUGUGAAAGCCCACGGCUCAACCGUGGAGGGUCAUUGGAAACUGGGGGACUUGAGUGCAGAAGAGGAAAGUGGAAUUCCAAGUGUAGCGGUGAAAUGCGUAGAGAUUUGGAGGAACACCAGUGGCGAAGGCGACUUUCUGGUCUGUAACUGACGCUGAGGCGCGAAAGCGUGGGGAGCAAACAGG
rnacentral:rRNA from 1 species